rnacentral:rRNA from 1 species
GACGAACGCUGGCGGCGUGCUUAACACAUGCAAGUCGAGCGGUAAGGCACCUUCGGGUGUACACGAGCGGCGAACGGGUGAGUAACACGUGAGCAACCUGCCCUUCUCAUCGGAAUAAGCGUUGGAUACGACGUCUAAUGCCGAAUACGACUUCGGACCGCAUGGUCUGAAGUGGAAAGCUCCGGCGGAGAAGGAUGGGCUCGCGGCCUAUCAGCUAGUUGGUGUGGGUAACGGCCCACCAAGGCGACGACGGGUAGCCGGCCUGAGAGGGUGACCGGCCACACUGGGACUGAGACACGGCCCAGACUCCUACGGGAGGCAGCAGUGGGGAAUAUUGGACAUGGCGAAGCCUGAUCCAGCAACGCCGCGUGAGGGAUGACGGCCUUCGGGUUGUAAACCUCUUUCAGCAGGGUACGAAGCGAAAGUGACGGUACCUGCAGAAGAAGGACCGGCCAACUACGUGCCAGCAGCCGCGGUAAUACGUAGGGUCCGAGCGUUGUCCGGAAUUAUUGGGCGU